rnacentral:rRNA from 1 species
AAUACGACUCUCGGCAACGGAUAUCUCGGCUCUCGCAUCGAUGAAGAACGUAGCGAAAUGCGAUACUUGGUGUGAAUUGCAGAAUCCCGUGAACCAUCGAGUCUUUGAACGCAAGUUGCGCCCGAAGCCUUCUGGCCGAGGGCACGUCUGCCUGGGCGUCACGC